GGGGUUUCACUGUGAAGGAGAAGGAGAAGAGAAAGAUUGAGAAUGGCAUUAUCUUCAUCAAGUACGACGCUAAUCCCUUCUCUUGCUACUUCUUCUUCAUUCUCUUCUAAACCAACAGCACCAACCAAGCUCUUUGCUUCUUCUUCUUCUUCUUUGUCUGUAUUCUCCAAUUCUGUUAAUGUUGCCUUUAGCUCCCUAAAGCUAUCACCCUCAACAACCAGGGUUUUUGCUGCUCCUGAGACUUUGGAUUCUGAAGACACUCUAGACCCACCUCCUGAAACCCUUGAUGAACCUGAUUCUGAUACUUUUCAGAUUGGAGAUUCUGAGAUACCAACUUCUCCAUCACUCAGCAUUGGAGCAGAUGCGGAUAAGAUGGCUCCAAAGCAGAAAAUUAGAAUUAAGCUAAGGUCUUACUGGGUGCCCCUGAUUGAGGACUCCUGCAAGCAGAUAAUGGAUGCUGCUAGGACUACCAAUGCAAAGACCAUGGGUCCUGUACCAUUACCAACAAAGAAGCGAAUCUACUGUGUUUUAAAAUCCCCCCAUGUGCACAAGGAUGCUAGAUUUCAUUUUGAGAUCAGAACCCACCAACGCCUAAUUGAUAUUCUCUACCCAACUGCUCAGACAAUUGAUUCAUUGAUGCAACUCGACCUUCCUGCUGGGGUUGAUGUGGAGGUUAAGCUCUGAAGAAGCAAAGACUAAGGUAAUUUCUUGAAGUUUUUAAGUUGCUCUAUGUAUGCUUUUUUUGUCCCUUUGAAAUUUGGCCAUAUUACUUAGAAAUUCAUGACUCUUGUUGCAAUUUUAGUCAAACUGGUUAGGCCAUGAACUUUGGUUAGUUAUACAUUUGUGGCCAAAGAUGACCCAUGGUGGAACAUUGCUAUCAUUUCCAACAAGUUGGAACUUAGAUACAUGCAGAACCAGAGAUGUUACUACAUUUUUUACUUCAAUCUAUAAAUAUUACAAUUGAUCUCCAAUAUAUAUCAGUUAUUGAAGCUUCAGCUUAUUACUUUUAUCUCAGUAUGAAUUGUAUCAAGUUGUGCUUUUCAGUAAAACACGCAAUCAAUUGUAUGAGUAUGUGGUAUGGACAUCAAACAAUGCAUGGGAAUAAAAAAAAAGUACAAAUACAACUUUACUGUGAGAUGUGGAUGCAACUUUGGCCAUAAUUGUGUGUACCUAACAAAACUUCAUGGCUUUUUUUGUUAAAAUUAAAAAUUUUGGCUAAAAUGUGAAUAGGAUCAGAAGUCAUUGGAUCUUAGAUAGUAUGGCCUUGAAAUUUCUUUGAUGAAGAAUACAAUGCUAUGACAUAAGCAUUAUUUUAUUAUUUAACAACUCCAUAGCAAGCUCCUGAGGUUUGUUUCUGGGUGUUCUAUGUAACUGCAUAUUUAUUUGCAAGAAUGAUAUUCAUUUUUGUUUUGGAAGGAGGAAUGACUACUAGCAGUAACUAUGAUGAUUUUAUUGUAUUCAAGGAAAUAUAUGUUCAUAGUUUUAUGCUAGGCUGUCAAAUUUUAUUUUUACUUUGCUAAGCAACACAUUAUAUUAAAACUUAAAACUAUGUAGCUCGUUCCAUCUUGAGUUCAAUUUUUCCACAAUGAAACUCGAACCUCACAAUUGGCAUCUUCUUGUCUUUUGUGCUUUUAUAUAUUUUGGAGAUUUGAGUGCUUAAAACUGUAGCAUGUUAAAAAUCUCUCCUUCAAAUAAUGUCUAUUCCAACCUUCUUGUGCUCUUUAUCUAUUUUGUUAUUUGAUUUCAUUUUUAAUUCACAUCACGUCCAAUCUCCUGGAUAUACUUUUCAUCUCCACCCCAUCCCAUAGAUUUACGGAUUGCCUCUGACUUCUUCUGAGAUUAACUAUUCUAAGAGAUAGCAUUGGAGAACUUUUGACGUCAUGUUCUCAUUAUUAUGAUUUUCAGUUGUGAUUGCCUUCUAGGGUUGUUCUGGUCUAUUUUACGCAGCAUAGUAUUCUUCGUUGUGAUUCCUUCUCUUUGCUUUAAUUUUUCAUAAGGCUUAUGAAAUGAACAUUGUAAUGGUAGGUGUCCUAUAAGAAAAGCAAGUGUGAGGAAAACUCAUGUUCAAUUCAAGCUUGGGGAAGGUUUGCUUGAACAAGUAAAAAUUGUUGUACCUGUCCUGCAAAAUUUUUUGGUUGGAGAAUUGUAAGCAAUGUUCUAUGUGAAAUUUCACUAAUGCUGAUCGGACGUUAGAAGUGAAAAAUAGGAAUGUAGAGCUUCUUUUUGGACGUUUGUUAUGUUCGAUUAGUAGCUACAUGGAUGUAAACUCUUGGGAAAUGAAAUUCAUAAAUUAAGUCUUUCUGUUA
rnacentral:misc_RNA from 1 species